AGGGUUGGUGACUUGAGCAAGGUGCAUCAGCUGCCAGGUUUCCAGAAGUUCCCUAGUCAUUGGGCAUUUCUGAGACUCUUGAUGCAUAUGCCAAGUAGUUAUGGAGAAAGACAUAGCCGCUUACCUCUGCAGGCAUCAUUGUGUGAAAGGAAGACCGAGGCUGUCUCACCACCCUUGAAGAGAAGCCUUUUGCUAAGGUGAUAGCUGCAUGUCCAAGCCUAUUGCGUGGCAUGGAUUUUGCCUUCUACAGCCCACUAAAGGAAAUUGAGGUGUACGGAAUGCUUAUUUGGUUGACUCAGUAUCAUCCUAAAUGUAUGAACUAAUGUUUAGGAGUUUGCAGUUCACCCGCAAACCUCAGCGAUCCAAGCUCCCCUGGAUGACCAUCACUCACCUAGAAAAGAACAAUAACAGGACCUGUUUUGCUAAUCCAGGACUGUUCUCCAGCACUAACUCUAAAUAAUCCCUUCUGUUAGAGUCCACUUUCUGGAACCUGUUGCCUCCGUUUUCAACGUUUCCCAAACUUGGUCCGUUGUGUGAGUUGGCUGUUAAAAGUUCCAGCCAAACCCAGAGUUAGGAAACCAUCUGGCAAGAACUGCUCAAGAGAAUGCUUCUUGG
rnacentral:lncRNA from 1 species